GGAGGAGGAGGUGUGUACUAGCGAUGUGCAGAUCUGAGGCAUCAGCAGCGGGAGGGAUGCAGCUUCCAAACCACUCUCUGCAGACUGCCCAUGAUUGAGCGACUGGGGGCUUCAUUCAGUGAAAAACAGCAGGGUUUGGUCAUAGCUGGUGGGUGGAGGGAGUCAUUUCCUCGUCGGCUUCACCUCUCGAUGAACUCUUUCAGCCUUCAGCCUCUUUUGAGUCAGAAGGGUGGAGACGGAGCAGGCGGUUUGUGUCCACCGCAUCACACAACACACGCCAGCAAAAUGCUGCAGCAUCACUGUAAUUAAAAAUGCACAAACCUUUAACUGAGUUAAUGAUGAACUGUGUUAUUCAUCAGCUCCAUUGAGAGGAUCUGAUGUGUAAACGAUCAAACACACCUUCAGAUCCAAAAAUUAAAGAAAGACUCGGAUGUGAAAUGUAAAGAAGGCGUCUUAAUUCGAUGCAAACAAUCUGUCAAUGCAGAUGAAAGCUGAGUAACAGAUGGUUUCCUGAGCCGUCUGUUACAUACUUGAUUUAGAAGAAAAUAAUAUAAAUGACGAGGUGGUGACAGAUGUAAAUCAGUGGUAAAAUGGUUAAAAGUGAUGGUGGUAAAGCUGUUUCGCAGCUUGCUGUGUGAUUAAAAUUGACUGGAAGCAAAGAUCAACACCUGUUAUCACAUAAUGUUCAGUACUAAUGUUCAUAAUGAAGACAGCUUUUUUUAUUUGUUUGCUUAAUUCUAUUUCAAACACAGACAGUUUAACUACGAGCGUGUUCGAUUCAUGAUUCUUGAUCCGCGAGUGUUUUUCUUCUAAGCCACACUGACUCAUUCCUGCAGCGCGGCACUCGGGAUAAAAUGUCGGCAAUUAACAUUUCUGCAAAUCACUGAAAACGUUCACAACUGUACGUGCCAGAGGCUACACCAGAGGUCACUGACAGGCCGAGAAGCAAGUUAAAAAAUAAAUAUCCCACAUGGCGUGCGUUACAAAAAGAGAAACAGUCGGCACUAAAAGUUCAGCACCAGACGAGGCGUGGAGGUGAAGCUGGAGCGCCGUUCACUCACUCAACAAGAGAAAGUGACGCGAGAGUGAAAGAAAGACUGACUGACUGUUGAGGCUGUUUAUUUUCAAGCUGGCUGAGUUAAAGAAAAAGCUCUGUGUGAUAUUUUUUAUUUGAAAAGACAGCUCUUAUUUUAUUAGAAAUGAGUAAAGAGCAAUUAUUUAUGAAUGACUUCAGAUCCCUUCAGUUCAAUGUGAAAACUGACAAUAAUGUUGAAAUACGGCUCCUCCGAUGCACUGAAUCAUAAUGCAAGUGAGACAUUAUGAGGUUCAGUGAAGUUUUUCCUCACCUCUUUGGAUUUUAAUUGAAUUCCUCCAGGCGACAGGUUGCAUACUGACUCUCCAAAUCGGGAGGUAAAGGAGGUGGUGGAGGAAGUUUUGGCGAGAAGGUUUGAGAAGGUGUUCCAGCAUCUAUUCUCAGUGUUUGAGGAGAGACAGAGACGGGGAUGGACUGAACACAGAGAGUCGACAUCAUCCUCCACGAGUAGGGCUGUUGAACAGCGACACUCGCCAACCCAGUAUCUGUUGAUAGUCGACAACCUUGAAUGAGACUCAACGAUCGUCCGUCUGUCUCCACAAUAGCUGGUCGCCCUGAAGCGUCUGAGCACAGAAAGACCAAACACGAGCUCCAGAAUAAAUGUACGUUUCUACAAACAGCAGAUAUGUUGAAACUUCUGACAAAAGAAAAGGGUAAAUCCAGGCAGUGUGCAGGGUCAACAGACACCAACACACACCUCAGGUGAUCACUGAGAGGGAUUAUUUUGCGUACACCGCGUCUGCACUUUGUCGUUGUGGGAGAGUCCUACGUCAUUUACCUCCAAGCAGUCAGAAGCAAGACGGAGAGAAGGGAUGAAGCAGAUAAUUAUGGAGUUCUUGCUGCAAGUUAGUCAUUUCAAACAUAAAAGUAAUGGUAAUGAAGGAAAAUGUCACCCAGUGUGAAACUGAAGUUCAUUGAUGUAUUUUUAAUGUUUUCGGAGUGAAGCUCUGCGGCACGGAGGAACGUCACGUAUCAGACUCUGGCUGCACACACAGUUCUUGUCACUGAGAUCAAAUCUUUGACGGUCUUUUCAUUGGGAUUUGUUGAUAGUAAGAAAAAAAGUAGAAUACAAUCUGUUACUUUACUUCUUAUCAAACAGGUUAUGACUAAUGAAUGUCGGUUAACUUAAUGAGCAUGAAUUAUAUAUCCAUCACAUUCUAUCAAAGAUGUGAUGUGUUUUUUUUAACUGCCUUUUUGUGUCCAAAUGACGACAGUGAUGAACAUCCCAUGACUAUCGUGAAAGAUAAAGAUUAAAGGUGCCAUACGUAAGAACUGGCCACCUGUUAACUUCAUAAUCACAACAAACGGGCAACAUUUCACCUGCUAACUGCUAACUGCUAACUGUUGCUGCCAUUAGCUCAGUUAGCUCAGUUAGCCAUGCAUGGCUGGUCCAGACUGGGAGCUUGGAGCAACAGGAAAGUGUUCAUGUUUACACCGCUAACACAGGAGCUUUGGACCGAGAUGAGCUAGCUGGUUAGCACGCUAACAUCUGCGAAACUAUACAUAGACAUUAUUGUGUCAAAACGGUUCUGCGUCAAAUUACCUGCAGAUGAUUUCAGGUAAUGUUUUCAACUCGUAUAUCGCUGUAUUACACCUUUAGUCAAACCUCAGACUGUUUUCAUUUCAUCUUCUGCCAGAUGACGGAUGGAUUCAUCAAACUGUCCGUCUCUGUGAUACUUAUGUCACAUCAUCAUUACCUCUUCUUAAUGAAAAUCUCAUUUACUUUUCUUCUUCCUUCUUCCAAAACCACCACCUUAAUGACAAUCAGCUUAUCUGUGAGAACUGCAUCACUUGUUCAUCCAUAAAACACAGAAGAUCAAUUAUUUCUGGUUCACAUCGUGUUCCCACAGAGGCAAAUAAACAUUUUUCAUCAUCA